GACGAACGCUGGCGGCGUGCUUAACACAUGCAAGUCGAACGCUUAAGCUUGGUGCUUGCACUGGGUGGAUGAGUGGCGAACGGGUGAGUAAUACGUGAGUAACCUGCCCUUGACUCUGGGAUAAGCCUGGGAAACUGGGUCUAAUACUGGAUACGACAUGUCACCGCAUGGUGGUGUGUGGAAAGGGUUUUACUGGUUUUGGAUGGGCUCACGGCCUAUCAGCUUGUUGGUGGGGUAAUGGCUCACCAAGGCGACGACGGGUAGCCGGCCUGAGAGGGUGACCGGCCACACUGGGACUGAGAAACGGCCCAGAAUCCUACGGGAGGCAGCAGUGGGGAAUAUUGAACAAUGGGCGGAAGCCUGAUGCAGCGACGCCGCGUGAGGGAUGACGGCCUUCGGGUUGUAAACCUCUUUCAGCACGGAAGAAGCGAAAGUGACGGUACGUGCAGAAGAAGCGCCGACUAACUACGUG
rnacentral:rRNA from 1 species